rnacentral:rRNA from 1 species
UAAACGCUGGCGGCGUGCCUAAUACAUGCAAGUCGAUCGAUAGAAGUCCAGCUUGCUGGACGGAAAUAGAGGCGAACGGGUGAGUAAUACGUAUGCAACCUGCCCCCGACUGGGGAAUAAUCGCGGGAAACCGCGUCUAAUGCCCCAUAGUUCCCCGGGCCCGCAUGGGCCCGGGGGAAAGGUUUGUUCCGGUCGGGGAUGGGCAUGCGGCGCAUUAGGUAGUUGGCGGGGCGACGGCCCACCAAGCCGACGAUGCGUAGGGGUUCUGAGAGGAAGGUCCCCCACAUUGGAACUGAGACACGGCCCAGACUCCUACGGGAGGCAGCAGUAGGGAAUCUUCGGCAAUGGGGGCAACCCUGACCGAGCAACGCCGCGUGAGUGAAGAAGGUUUUCGGAUCGUAAAGCUCUGUUGUAAGAGAAGAACGUGUGUGAGAGUGGAAAGUUCACACAGUGACGGUAACUUACCAGAAAGGGACGGCUAACUACGUG